UACAGAGGGUGCAAGCGUUAAUCGGAAUUACUGGGCGUAAAGGGUGCGUAGGUGGAUGACUAAGUCAGAUGUGAAAUCCCUGGGCUUAACCUAGGAAUUGCAUAUGAUACUGUUCAUCUAGAGUUCGAAAGAGGUAAGUGGAAUUUCCGGUGUAGCGGUGAAAUGCGUAGAUAUCGGAAGGAACAUCAGUGGCGAAGGCGACUUACUGGUUCGAUACUGACACUGAGGCACGAAAGCGUGGGGAGCAAACAGG
rnacentral:rRNA from 1 species